CACUAAAAAGGAUGCACUGAAGGUACAUUUUGUGUUUAUAUAAAAACGCAGACCGAAAAAAGUUUAGCGCAUGCGUUUAUAUGCGCUAAUGUACCUUCAGUGCAUCUUCUCUAAAGUUGUCCAGUUUACAUAUUACAUAUUACAGUAUAUUUAUUCGUGACAUUGAAAUAAAUGAAAACGAUACUCACUAAGAUUUUGAGCAUGUGUUGAGAUUAACAAGACAAGAUUUCAUACGUUGGCGGCAUAGCCACCCCGGGCCCAAAGUCGAUGUUGACCAGCCUCAUUUUCAAAAUUAUGGGCCACAUUCGUGUGGAGCAAGAGGAAUAAGCUGCAGCAGAAGUGCGAGAGUAAACCAUUUUGCAUACACCUGUUAGGUGUAUGUAGUCUUAACAAUACAGAAAUUAACUU